rnacentral:rRNA from 1 species
ACGAGGGGGGCAAGCGUUGUUCGGAAUUAUUGGGCGUAAAGGGCGCGUAGGCGGUGCGGUAAGUCACCUGUGAAAACUCUGGGCUCAACUCAGAGCCUGCAGGCGAAACUGCCGUGCUUGAGUGUGGGAGAGGUGCGUGGAAUUCCCGGUGUAGCGGUGAAAUGCGUAGAGAUCCGGAGGAACACCGACGGCGUAGGCAGCGCCCUGGCCGUCCCCUGACGCUGAGGCACGAAAGCUGGGGGAGCGAACAGGA